rnacentral:rRNA from 2 species
AGAGUUUGAUCCUGGCUCAGGAUGAACGCUGGCGGCGUGCCUAAUACAUGCAAGUCGAACGAGUUCUGAUUAUUGAAAGGUGCUUGCAUCUUGAUUUAAUUUUGAACGAGUGGCGGACGGGUGAGUAACACGUGGGUAACCUGCCCUUAAGUGGGGGAUAACAUUUGGAAACAGAUGCUAAUACCGCAUAAAUCCAAGAACCGCAUGGUUCUUGGCUGAAAGAUGGCGUAAGCUAUCGCUUUUGGAUGGACCCGCGGCGUAUUAGCUAGUUGGUGAGGUAACGGCUCACCAAGGCAAUGAUACGUAGCCGAACUGAGAGGUUGAUCGGCCACAUUGGGACUGAGACACGGCCCAAACUCCUACGGGAGGCAGCAGUAGGGAAUCUUCCACAAUGGACGCAAGUCUGAUGGAGCAACGCCGCGUGAGUGAAGAAGGCUUUCGGGUCGUAAAACUCUGUUGUUGGAGAAGAAUGGUCGGCAGAGUAACUGUUGUCGGCGUGACGGUAUCCAACCAGAAAGCCACGGCUAACUACGUGCCAGCAGCCGCGGUAAUACGUAGGUGGCAAGCGUUAUCCGGAUUUAUUGGGCGUAAAGCGAGCGCAGGCGGUUUUUUAAGUCUGAUGUGAAAGCCCUCGGCUUAACCGAGGAAGUGCAUCGGAAACUGGGAAACUUGAGUGCAGAAGAGGACAGUGGAACUCCAUGUGUAGCGGUGAAAUGCGUAGAUAUAUGGAAGAACACCAGUGGCGAAGGCGGCUGUCUGGUCUGUAACUGACGCUGAGGCUCGAAAGCAUGGGUAGCGAACAGGAUUAGAUACCCUGGUAGUCCAUGCCGUAAACGAUGAAUGCUAGGUGUUGGAGGGUUUCCGCCCUUCAGUGCCGCAGCUAACGCAUUAAGCAUUCCGCCUGGGGAGUACGACCGCAAGGUUGAAACUCAAAGGAAUUGACGGGGGCCCGCACAAGCGGUGGAGCAUGUGGUUUAAUUCGAAGCAACGCGAAGAACCUUACCAGGUCUUGACAUCUUUUGAUCACCUGAGAGAUCAGGUUUCCCCUUCGGGGGCAAAAUGACAGGUGGUGCAUGGUUGUCGUCAGCUCGUGUCGUGAGAUGUUGGGUUAAGUCCCGCAACGAGCGCAACCCUUAUGACUAGUUGCCAGCAUUUAGUUGGGCACUCUAGUAAGACUGCCGGUGACAAACCGGAGGAAGGUGGGGAUGACGUCAAAUCAUCAUGCCCCUUAUGACCUGGGCUACACACGUGCUACAAUGGAUGGUACAACGAGUUGCGAGACCGCGAGGUCAAGCUAAUCUCUUAAAGCCAUUCUCAGUUCGGACUGUAGGCUGCAACUCGCCUACACGAAGUCGGAAUCGCUAGUAAUCGCGGAUCAGCACGCCGCGGUGAAUACGUUCCCGGGCCUUGUACACACCGCCCGUCACACCAUGAGAGUUUGUAACACCCGAAGCCGGUGGCGUAACCCUUUUAGGGAGCGAGCCGUCUAAGGUGGGACAAAUGAUUAGGGUGAAGUCGUAACAAGGUA